CUUUCUAUCACCAAAGUAUCCGCCUGAGAACUACGAGCACAAACGCUUAAAACUCUAAGGACUUGGCGGUGCCCCAAACCCACCUAGAGGAGCCUGUUCUAUAAUCGAUAACCCACGAUGCACCCAACCACUCCUUGCCAAAACAGCCUAUAUACCGCCGUCGCCAGCCCACCUCCCCUGAGAGCCUAACAGUGAGCCUAAUAGCCCUCCGCUAACAAGACAGGUCAAGGUAUAGCCUAUGGGGUGGAAGAAAUGGGCUACAUUUUCUAAGAUAGAUACUUUCACGAAAAGGGACGUGAAACCCGUCCCUAGAAGGCGGAUUUAGCAGUAAAGUGGGAUAAUAAAGCCCCCUU
rnacentral:rRNA from 1 species